rnacentral:rRNA from 1 species
AAUGAACGCUGGCGGCAGGCCUAACACAUGCAAGUCGAGCGAGCAUUUCGGUGCUAGCGGCGGACGGGUGAGUAACGCGUGGGAACGUGCCCUUUUCUGCGGAAUAGUCCUGGGAAACUGGGGGUAAUACCGCAUACGCCCUUUCGGGGAAAGAUUUAUCGGAGAAGGAUCGGCCCGCGUUGGUUUAGGUAGUUGGUGGGGUAAUGGCCCACCAAGCCGACGAUCCAUAGCUGGUUUGAGAGGAUGAUCAGCCACACUGGGACUGAGACACGGCCCAGACUCCUACGGGAGGCAGCAGUGGGGAAUCUUAGACAAUGGGGGCAACCCUGAUCUAGCCAUGCCGCGUGAGUGAUGAAGGCCUUAGGGUUGUAAAGCUCUUUCAGCUGGGAAGAUAAUGACGGUACCAGCAGAAGAAGCCCCGGCUAACUCCGUG